GCAUAUGUAGAAGAUAUAAGUGAUAGGCAGC
rnacentral:piRNA from 1 species